ensembl:lncRNA
GUGCACCCAACCUUUCGUACUCCAUUUCCUUUGCUUGCUCUCCCAACUGUGUAAUGGAGAUGGGUCCCCAACCAUGGAAACUGAAGUACUCGGUCAACCAUGUUCGCGCCUUCAUAUUAUUGUACAAUAUAGAUUUAGUACUUUGAUUUGAUCCAUAAUGGCGCCAGUUUCAUCGGUGCACAAAUAGUACACGCCCACAUUCAAGAGCCAACCACAAUCAGUGUUUCAUUUGGCCUCUUUCCUUCAGACGCAUAUCGAAGCCCGUCUGGAAACAGUUUGCAAGGGGUCGUUAAAGAAGAUUAAGCCGGUAACAAAAUAUCGUUUUUAGCUACAUUAAGUUUACCUUUGAAGGCUCCAGUUUUGAUUACUGAGCAUACAAAUCUUCAAUUCAGACCAUGGUGACAAAAUAAAAAGUGUACACGGACGUUUUCGAGGAGAUUUUAAGCUUUCUCUGUCGGUUGUUGGUGUUCAGGAAUUAGCAAGCUAGUUAGCACUAGCCUAGAAAUACUAGCCAGCCUAGCUUGCUAACGUUAGCUUCCAAUAGUCUGAUUAUCAACUGAGAUGUUUGCAGCAUUUCUCGGAUGUCUACGGACGGCAGAUUGCUGAACCAGAGGGCCUCAAAUGGGAAAAACAAGCAUCGGACAGGAAUAUCGGGGAUAAGCUUGUCGACGUAACUCAGAUUCUGUUGAAGGGGACACGGAAACCGUGCACGGGCGGAUCAGGAAUCCGUAAGACAAAGGCCUGACCUCUGAAAUUGAGGGUCCAUUUCAGGCGAACUUGUACACGACAGGAACUGUGAUGAGAUCCAACCUACAUUGAAUUCUCUGCUGCAGGAAUAAGAGUUGGGAAGCAUGGCGUUGGAAUCUGCUGUGACCCAGCAGAUGGUGAGGUAUGAGCCCAUACCUGACUCAGACCAGUGGGAUGAACGCUACAUGCCUCCUGGAAUGCUGGACGAUGAUGACCAAUUUGACCCCGAUGAUCCACAAUUUAAAACUUUUCUUAGUUCUAACGUGUGAAGGUUAUAGUGAAAAUCUCAAAAGGAAGAGUUAUAACUGGAAGUAGAAAUAAAACUAUACCCAGGUGAGGUGAAAUAGACGUUGUACAUUUAUGGGUGAUUUCUUUUAAUAAACAAAUGUUGUAUCAAGAUGUAAUAUUUAGUCAAAAGGUGGAUUGAUAGAAUUUGGAUGUUUAAGAUAAUGACUAAAGUAUUUCAC